GAUGAACGCUGGCGGCGUGCCUAAUACAUGCAAGUCGAGCGAACAGACGAGGAGCUUGCUCCUCUGACGUUAGCGGCGGACGGGUGAGUAACACGUGGAUAACCUACCUAUAAGACUGGGAUAACUUCGGGAAACCGGAGCUAAUACCGGAUAAUAUAUUGAACCGCAUGGUUCAAUAGUGAAAGACGGUUUUGCUGUCACUUAUAGAUGGAUCCGCGCCGCAUUAGCUAGUUGGUAAGGUAACGGCUUACCAAGGCAACGAUGCGUAGCCGACCUGAGAGGGUGAUCCGCCACACUGGAACUGGGACACGGUCCAGACUCCUACGGGAGGCAACAAUAGGGAAUCUUCCGCCAUGGGCGAAAGCCUGACGGAGCAACGCCGCGGGAGUGAUGAAGGUCUUCGGAUCGUAAAACUCUGUUAUUAGGGAAAAACAAAUGUGUAAGUAACUAUGCACGUCUUGACGGUACCUAAUCAGAAAGCCACGGCUAACUACGUG
rnacentral:rRNA from 1 species